rnacentral:rRNA from 1 species
ACACGUGCUACAAUGGGUGGUACAAAGAGCAGCUAACUCGCGAGAGUAUGCAAAUCUCAAAAAGCCAUCCUCAGUUCGGAUUGGAGUCUGCAACUCGACUCCAUGAAGUUGGAAUCGCUAGUAAUCGCGGAUCAGCAUGCCGCGGUGAAUACGUUCCCGGGCCCGUU